GUGAAUCAUCGAAUUUUUGAACGCAAAUUGCACUCCCUGGUAUUCCGGGGAGUAUGCCUGUUUGAGGGUCGUUAGAAUAAAAAAUCGAGGCGUCGCUCUUUUUUUUAAGGGUGAUCGCGUCGGACUUGUGCCGUCUUUCAAAUGUUAAUUCUUGACAAAGUAGCUUAAAAACCAUCCGUCCGGU
rnacentral:misc_RNA from 1 species